ACGGGUGAGUGUACGUAUGUGAACUGCCCUUGGGCUGGGGAUUACUUGUGGAAACACCGGGUAAUACCCAAUGACGUCCUCGGAUUAUGAUCUGAUGAUCAUAGGGGCUAACGCCUCACCUGAGGAUGAGCCUGCAGCUGAUUAUCUAUUUGGUGGGGUAAAGGCCCACCAACGAUACGAUCAUUAUCCGGCCUGAGAGGGUGGACGGCCACACUGGGACUGAGCCCGGCCCAGACUCCUACGGGAGGCAGCAGAAUUUUGUCUUCCGCAAUGGACCAAAAUCUGACGGAGCGACGUCUCGUGGGUGAUGAAGGCGGAAACGUUGUAAAGCCCUUUUAUAAACAAGGAAUAAGCUUUGGAGGGAAUGCCAAAGUGAUGACCGUAGUCUGUGAAUAAGCCCCGGCUAAUUACGUGCCACCCGCCGCGGUAACACGUAUGAGCCGAGCGUUGUUCGGAAUUAUUGGGCGUAUGCGGUAUGCAUGCUGUUUGCCCAAUCUGGUGUGUAAGACCUCAGCUUAACUGCUGCAGCGCGCACUGCACUGCUAGACUAUGAGUACAGGAAGGUGAGUUGGAAUUCCUAGUGUAGAGGUGC
rnacentral:rRNA from 1 species